rnacentral:lncRNA from 1 species
GAAGUGUCCAGCUGCUUUCCUGUUCUGCCGCUUUCAUCGCGGUGGGCAGGCAGACCCUGGGGCUGUGACAGGAAAGACCGAAAGUCUCAGCACAGACUCGUGGAAGGGUUUGGUUUUAAACUAAUCUCAUGUCUCCUCACUAAACCGGGACACGGUCCGGGUGCUUUUCACCGAGGUGCCCCUCACUGGAAGCAGAAACCAGUCCGAGCAACCUGCGGCGCUCCGGCUGGCCCCGCGGAGUUUCCCUGGGACGCCAGCGCCUGGGCCGCGCUCCUGGCAGGCGGCAGCAGUGCUCAUCGCUGCCGCAGCGUCGCCGGCGCUUCGGCAGAACGAUCUGAGAACUCCUCCAGUGUACGUCUCAUUGUCGCCAGUAAUGGGGAGCAGAGGAAAAAUGAUUGUACCUUCAAUACUGCACUAGAUCCUGACAGCACACCCACAGAAGUCCUACGUGUCAAAACAAUGAUUGCAACUCUUCUGAAAGCGCUUCUACCAUUGAUACCUCCAUAUCUGGUAACUAGUGGAAACUGAAAAACUUGCCUGAAGUACAUCAAGGCCUGUCAAUGAAUUAUUGGAAAUAAGGGGAAUCUUGACCUGAGUCUAGUUAACGGUACGGUGAUCAUCUGUGAUGGAUGAAGUGACCAUUAAUCUACUGGCACUCGCCCAGAUGGUGCUAUUCCUGACAACAGAGUGUGCGCGUCGCCAGCACCCAGAAGCCGGCCGGGGACAGCACUGCUGAAAUCAGAUGCAGAUGACAGGAAGGUGAUAAAAGUUUUAACCUCUCGAAAGAUCUUCAAUACUUGAUUGAAAUCCAUGAUGCCAAAUGAUGCAGAAGCGAUGCUUCAGUCAAUCCAGUUCAGCUCCAGGACAUACAAUAUGGUGUGGAAGGUGAGAAGACGAAACAGAUUUGGAGCUCAGGAAUGGAAAAAAAGACUGCUGUAUUUAUAGCUGAAUGAGAGGUGUCCGAUGGGGUGGCUUUGAGAGCUUAAACAACAGCAGUGGGCGCCAGAGUGCCCUUAACAGCCUUUGCAAACCACCCCAAAUCUAACCAAAUAGCUAAGUCAUCAAACUGACGUGCAGGAUUUGCAAUUCGUAAUUGAGUUGCUGCUACUGCCUGUUCCUAUGCAGAAGACUGUUGCUCCUUCUCUUUGUUUAUCAGAAUAGGAACCUAGACAGGAAAAAAAGAGUCUGGGCAUGGCAGGAGGAGGGGAGAGGGAGGAAUGCGGUGACCCAAAACUACUGGAAAAGGAGAUUUCACACUUACUUGGCUGAGAAGGUGCAAGAGCUGUGCUGCUUCAAGCAGCACCCAGCAGACAGUGUGAUGCUUGCUGCGUGCCUUUAGGAAAGUCCCUGCGUUGUCUCAGUCCCUGUCUCAGCGAGCUGCGGGGCUGAUCAGGCCGGGCAGAUACAGCCUCCUGAUACAGCCUGCACAGGGGACACCAAAAUAUGGCCUGGCUUUGUGUGGGGAAGGCAGAACGUUUCUGUAGGAUAAGCAAUAGUGGUGGAUGACAUUUCUGUUGUGCAUUAUAUGUAUUUUCAGAUAUCACUGUUAUGCUAAUAGAUGAAUAUAGUAAUUAAUUUUUUAGAAUAGCUGCAGCAGUAUUAUCUUCUUACCUUCAGAUAUUAACACAGUUGAAAGAAAGCACACCCCUGUGUGAGCCGUGCUGGGGGUGCAUUAUUAGUAGAUUUUUUUUUUUUUUUUUUCCUGGGAUGAUGGAAAGGGAGUUGUAAUGCAGGAUCCAGAGGCCUCCAUCAUUCUUUUCCUGUCAUUUUUAAGGAUGAUCCAUAACGUGUGAACAUCACCCGCAAUUGAGGCCUAAUUACGUUUCUCAAGUGAGCAUGUUGCAUUUUCAAGGAAGUCUUAAACGAGCACUUAAGCUGUAAUGCUCUUGAGUACACCACUGUGGAUUUAAGGAUUGCUUUGUAUCCUGAGGACUGUGCUGAGCUAGUCACAGCAUACUCCCACAAGUACUUUUAUCACAGAGUUAUUAGACCAUUAUGGUCUACGAUUGUCUUUUACAGCCUUUGAUUUCUUCUGUUGUCAGACGUGAGGAAAGUGAUGUGUAAUCUGAUCCAAAAUGUUCUUGUUUGUUUUAAUCUACUGUUUUAAUAUAUUAUGGCUUCCUGCCAUUAUGCUUUUCUGAGAUGGACCCUUGAGUCACUUGUAGAGGUUUUAUAUGUACAGAAUCUGAAAGGCAUUUUUCUGAUGGGUAUGCCUUCUGGUAGGCAGAGAUAAUCUUACUUUUUCUGUGUGUGUGUGUUUUGCGUGUGCAUGCACAUUGGUUGUUUACACCUGAGCAUCGAGAACACUGCUGCUGUCUGUGGUGUCCCACCACGCUUUACAUCACUGCUGUUACCAGUGAAAUAUUGCUCUUGAGCAGUGAAACGGAGAACGCACCAAGGCCAGCUCUUCCUGGCGAGGAUGCAGCCCUCUAAUGCUGUGUGCGUGCACACAGGAGCGGUGCCUGUCACACAUGCAGAUGGCAUGCGCGUAAAUGCAAAUCAGGCCUUGACGUCUUUGUGUGGUGAGGGGGCUUUUUGUGUCCCAAGAACUAUAUGCCAGGGGCCUGAAUUUUCCACAGGCUUAUAUCUUUAAUAGAAUAUCUUUAAUAAAUCUUUUGAACGGAAAAGAAGCA